rnacentral:rRNA from 1 species
UAAUACGUAGGGACCAAGCGUUGUUCGGAUUUACUGGGCGUAAAGGGCGCGUAGGCGGCGCGGUAAGUCACUUGUGAAAUCUCUGAGCUUAACUCAGAACGGCCAAGUGAUACUGCAGUGCUAGAGUGUGGAAGGGGCAAUCGGAAUUCUUGGUGUAGCGGUGAAAUGCGUAGAUAUCAAGAGGAACACCUGAGGUGAAGACGGGUUGCUGGGCCAACACUGACGCUGAGGCGCGAAAGCCAGGGGAGCAAACGGGAUUAGAUACCCCGGUAGUCCUGGCCCUAAACGAUGAAUACUUGGUGUCUGGAGUUUUAAUGCUCCGGGUGCCGUCGCUAACGUUUUUAGUAUUCCGCCUGGGGAGUACGCUCGCAAGAGUG